AUGUUCUCUGCAGAACUGAGUUUUGCAUAGGUUGGGCAAGUGGGACGUAUUCUCGGUAACACAUUCUGCUUCCGCUUGCGUCAGGUCAAAUGUUUACUUGAUGACAUGCUGACAUGCUUGGCACGGAUUGUCAUCUCCUCCGCGUACAGUUUGAAGCGCCGUCUCUCAUCCUGGAGGCUCUGAGAAGCCUGGCGACCGUGAGGAGGUUCGACAUGGCCGUCAUGUUCAUGUCCGCCGCUGAGAAGAAAGUUUUACAAGAAUUAUUUGAUUGUCUCCGCCAUGCCGGCUUGGAGGAUGAAUCUACCCGAGCCCUGCAGAAGAAGUACGAGGUGUGACCGUCUCGUUCACGAGAAGCAAGCAACAAGAUGUCAUCUUGGCCCUUGGAGACGUUUGUUUCUUACAGUAAAGAAAAAGAUGAAAUGUAUUAUUGCUAGGGCAGCUGCAGCCCGGUUGAGCUCUCCAGACUCUUCCACUCAGAACAGCUGGGCCGUGAGCCAAAGCGUUUCUCCUGCCUCAGGUGUCUGUGCUCAGGGUGAAACGGUUCCCUUCUCUGAAGCAGCGGCCUAGCGGCUCUGUAUGCAUGGCAUUUCAGUUACGUCUGCGUUCCAGAGCCGUGGAAGGCCCCGGAAUGGAAAACCCACGACUAUGUAAUAAAACGCAUCCGUUUACGCUGUCUCAUCGUAUGAAUUAUCAUUCAAUUAUAAUCCUCUUAUCGCCCGAGUCUGCCUGUCUGGAAGUCAAAAUAAAUGUCAAGUUCUGUCAGUGCUGACUUGGUAGCCUCUUGUUUUGCGCGAAUUUUGUUCUCUCAUUUUCAUUAAAUUUUUUGAAUUAAAA